rnacentral:rRNA from 1 species
GAGGGGGGCAAGCGUUGUCCGGAUUUAUUGGGUUUAAAGGGUGCGUAGGCGGUUCCAUAAGUCAGUGGUGAAAUACAAUAGCUUAACUAUUGAGGUGCCAUUGAUACUGCGGAACUUGAGUACAGACGAGGUAGGCGGAAUUGACGGUGUAGCGGUGAAAAGCUUAGAUAUCGUCAAGAACACCGAUAGCGAAGGCAGCUUACUAGACUGUAACUGACGCUGAGGCACGAAAGUGUGGGGAUCAAACAGGAUUAGAUACCCUGGUAGUCCACACUGUAAACGAUGAUUACUCGAUGUUGGCGAUACACAGCCAGCGUCUUAGCAAAAGCGAUAAGUAAUA